GAUGAACGCUAGCUACAGGCUUAACACAUGCAAGUCGCGGGGCAGCAUGGGGGUUGCUUGCAAUCCCCGAUGGCGACCGGCGCACGGGUGAGUAACGCGUAUCCAACCUGCCCUUCACCACGGGAUAACCCGGCGAAAGUCGGACUAAUACCGUAUGUUGUCCAUUGACGGCAUCCGAUUUGGACGAAAGGUUUGGCGGUGAAGGAUGGGGAUGCGUCCGAUUAGCUGGACGGCGGGGUGACGGCCCACCGUGGCGACGAUCGGUAGGGGUUCUGAGAGGAAGGUCCCCCACACUGGAACUGAGACACGGUCCAGACUCCUACGGGAGGCAGCAGUGAGGAAUAUUGGUCAAUGGGCGUAAGCCUGAACCAGCCAAGUAGCGUGCAGGAUGACGGCCCUAUGGGUUGUAAACUGCUUUUAUGCGGGGAUAAAGUGGCCCACGUGUGGGUUUUUGCAGGUACCGCAUGAAUAGGGACCGGCUAAUUCCGUG
rnacentral:rRNA from 1 species